UAUUGGAACGUUAUCGAUAAGAAGAGAGCGUCUAGGCGAACAAUGUUCUUAAAGUUUGACCUCAAAUCAGGUAGGAGUACCCGCUGAACUUAAGCAUAUCAAUAAGCGGAGGAAAAGAAACCAACCGGGAUUGCCUUAGUAACGGCGAGUGAAGCGGCAAAAGCUCAAAUUUGAAAUCUGGUACCUUCGGUGCCCGAGUUGUAAUUUGGAGAGGGCAACUUUGGGGCCGUUCCUUGUCUAUGUUCCAAGGAACAUAGAC
rnacentral:rRNA from 1 species